rnacentral:misc_RNA from 1 species
CCGAACUGUCAACACGAGUUGUUGCUGGUCCUCAAAUCGGGGGCAUGUGCACGCUCUGUUUACACAUCCACUCACACCUGUGCACCCUCUGUAGUUCUAUGGCAUGGGGGAUCUUGUCUUCCUGCUGUGGUUCUGCAUCUUUACAACACACAAUGUGAUAGAGUCUCAUGGAAUGUACAUCGCGUUUAACGCAAUACAAUA